rnacentral:rRNA from 1 species
UGAGGAAUUUUCGGCAAUGGGGGCAACCCUGACCGAGCAACGCCGCGUGCAGGACGAAGGUUUUCGGAUCGUAAACUGCUUUUCUUGGGGACGAGCAAGGACGGUACCCAAGGAAUCAGCCCCGGCUAACUACGUGCCAGCAGCCGCGGUAAUACGUAGGCAGCAAGCGUUGUUCGGAGUUACUGGGCGUAAAGAGUGCGUAGGCGGUCUCGUAAGUUUGUUGUGAAAUCUCCCGGCUCAACUGGGAGGGUGCGGCGAAAACUGCGGGGCUUGAGUGUGGGAGAGGUAAGCGGAAUUCCUGGUGUAGCGGUGAAAUGCGUAGAUAUCAGGAGGAACACCGGCGGUGUAGACGGCUUACUGGACCAUGACUGACGCUGAGGCACGAAAGCGUGGGGAGCAAACAGGAUUAGAUACCCUGGUAGUCCACGCCCUAAACGAUGCACACUUGGUGUGAGCGAUUCAUUUCGUUCGUGCCGGAGCUAACGCGUUAAGUGUGCCGCCUGGGGAGUACGGUCGCAAGGCUGC